CCCUUAGAUGUUCUGGGCCGCACGCGCGCUACACUGAUACAUGCAACGAGUUUAUAACCUUGAUCUGACGGUCUGGGUAAUCUUCAAACUGUAUCGUGUUAGGGAUCGAUUCUUGCAAUUUUUAAUCGUAAACGAGGAAUUCCUAGUAAACGCAAGUCAUCAGCUUGCAUUGAUUACGUCCCUGCCCUUUGUACACACCGCCCGUCGACUCUACCGAUUGAAUGGUUCGGUGAAAACUUUGGACUGUGGCAUUGUCCUUCAUUGGACUUCGCCGUAGGAAAUUGUUUAAACCUAAUCAUUUAGAGGAAGAAUAAGUCGUAACA
rnacentral:rRNA from 1 species